rnacentral:rRNA from 1 species
GAGAACGCUGGCGGCGUGGAUUAGGCAUGCAAGUCGAACGGUAUCAUCCUUUCGGGGGUGAGAGAGUGGCGAACUGGUGAGUAACACGUAGGUUAUCUACCCUCAAGGACGGGGACAACCCAGGGAAACUUGGGCUAAUACCGGAUGUGAGCAACUUUUAGUUGUUUGAAAGGUGGCGUAAGCUGUCGCUUGGGGAUGAGCCUGCGUCCUAUUAGUUAGUUGGUGAGGUAACGGCUCACCUAGGCAAUGAUAGGUAGGCGGCCUUAACGGGUGGUCGCCCACACUGGGAUUGAGAUACGGCCCAGACUCCUACGGGAGGCAGCAGUCGAGAAUAGUCUACAAUGGUCGGAAGACUGAUAGUGCGACGCCGCGUGAACGAUGAAUCCCUUCGGGGUGUAAAGUUCUUUUAUAUGUGAGCAGUGCUUCUUAUAUUAACAGUAUGGGGAGAGAGAUAUUAGCAUAUGAAUAAGCAACGGCUAACUCCGUG